GGCCGAGUGGUGGAAUUGGCAUACACGUGGGUUUUAGGAACCCAUGCCGCAAGGCUUGCGGGUUCGAGUCCCGCCUCGGCCA
rnacentral:tRNA from 1 species